GGAGAGGGGGAGGAGGAGAGGAGACCAGGGGAGAAUAGCAGAGAAGAGAGGAGCGGAAGAAGAGGAGGAAGAAGAGGAGGAGAGGAGAGGAGGGACCAAAACCAUUAAGGAGAACAAGAGACAGAGAAUAAAAGGACAGAAGGUCUGAGGGAGCAGCGGUCGCCAUGGCAGACGUCCUGGAGAGCGGAGGAGGGGCGGGAGCCGUCGGAGCGGGCAGUGUGGAUUGGCAGAAGCGUUGCAUCGCCUUGGAGAUGCAGCUGCUGAGAUUCCGUCUGCAAGCAGGGAAGAUCCGCGAACUCCUGGCAGAGAAGAUGCAGGAGCUGGAGCAGAGGGUGAUGGAGGCAGAUCAGCGGGCAGAGAGAGCAGAGAAACAGGU